UCACGUUACCCCUCCAGUUCCAGCAUUCACGAUGCUCUGCUCUCCUUGAGGUGAUUGCCAUCAUCUCUGAAGCAGGGCUUGUGCGUUCAGGAUCUUCACUUCAGGAUCUUCACUUCAGGAUCUUCUAAGAGAUCUCAGUUGGUUUUGUUAGCAUGGUGGAUUUUAUGGCAGAUUUCUACAGCCAAGACACAAAUGCUGACAGAUUUCCAGGUAACUGCCAUUGCUUCUGAUCUUUCAUAAGCUGCUCUGGGUGUUGGGACCUUUUCUUUGAUUUUAGGCUGCAAUUCUCUCUUCUUAUCCC
ensembl:lncRNA